AACGAACGCUGGCGGCAUGCCUAACACAUGCAAGUCGAACGAGACCUUCGGGUCUAGUGGCGCCCGGGUGCGUAACGCGUGGGAACCUGCCCUUAGGUUCGGCAUAACUCCCCGAAAGGGGUGCUAAUACCGGAUAAUGUCUUCGGCCCAAAGAUUUAUCGCCUUUGGAUGGGCCCGCGUUGGAUUAGCUAGUUGGUAGGGUAAAAGCCUACCAAGGCGACGAUCCAUAGCUGGUCUGAGAGGAUGAUCAGCCACACUGGGACUGAGACACGGCCCAGACUCCUACGGGAGGCAGCAGUGGGGAAUAGUGGACAAUGGGCGAAAGCCUGAUCCAGCAAUGCCGCGUGAGUGAUGAAGGCCUUAGGGUGGUAAAGCUCUUUUACCCGGGAUGAUAAUGACAGUACCGGGAGAAUAAGCGCCGGCUAACUCCGUG
rnacentral:rRNA from 1 species